GCUCCUGUAGUUCAAUGGAUAGAAUGUUGGCCUCCGAAGCCGAAGAUCCGGGUUCGACUCCCGGCGGGAGCACCA
rnacentral:tRNA from 1 species